GUGGUGGAAACCAGCGUGUCGGAGGACGCAGGGGAGGCAGCGCAGAGAAGACCGAGGAGCAAGGAGGAAGGGAGCUGGAUGAGCCAUCGGAAACGUGAUGAUGAACGCGGCGAGCCAUCUCAGGAGGUCCCUCCUCCUGUUCCUGUAAGUGAGAAGAAAAGUAGGAGUUUUCUGUUCAUCAGAUUUGUUUUUCAGGUUUCUAUUUCAGUGAUAGGUUCGUUCAUAGCUGUAAUUAGAUCCGGUCACAGCAUCUUAUGCACGCCGAUCGCUACUUGAGAUCGUGGAUCUGAUCCUUGUUCGUGCUCGUGCAAGACGGAUCAGUGACUAUUGUUGUAUGUAUGUAAUCACGAGUCGGAAGUCAACUCAUCUGUUUUACUUACCUCCCUUUGUGUUCUUUGUCGAGGGCGAGGAAGGAGUACAAAUAAAAGAGAAGAGGAGAUCCGAAAGAUGAUAACAAUGAUAUCUACCCAAGUUUUCCUACUGUUUUCAUGCAUAAAUAUAUAUUCGUAGCUUAUUUAAGAUCAACAACCAUCGUGAUCUCUGUGGAACAGACUGAAUGGAGCGGUGAAGAAGGAAGGUACCACAUCAUGGCAAGAGGCAUGAACAUAAGUUGGGGCGAAGAUGAUAGAUUCUGGAAGUGGCCUCGGCUUUCCGAGGCAGAGCUUCGUGAGAUUUUUUCCAUAGAUGCAAAGAAGUAUGAGAUUUAGAUUGUCUUCCAUCUUUAUGUGACACGCUGUUGAGAUCAUCUCUGCUGACUACCUGCACGCUUAUCUUGGAUGUCAGCUGGAUCUGUGAAUGCGCAGAGCUCAAUCAGGUGAGUUGGCUGGAAGCAACAAAGACGCUGGACCUGGAUGACGAGAAAUACAAGAAAGUGUUCGAUGGUUACGAUACUUGUGAUAUUUUGUACAACAUCAAGUUUAAGGUCGAUGCUUUCGGGUGGCAUGGCGUCCCCGUCACCUUCCAAGUGAACAACACCCUAACCCCAGCUGAGGGCUAUACGAAAGAUGAGAAGCUGGAGUCAUACAGAAAACGUACCAGCGGGUGGCAACAGAUCCAUGGUGGCGACUUCAAAAUACCUAAAACUGAGAAGAAAGGAGAGGUCAAGUUCGGCAUGUAUGAAAUCAAGAGCCAGAGGUGGAAGGGUGGCAUUCUUCUCGCCGGCGUCACUCUCAAGCUUCACAAGUCUGCCACCACCGAUUAGAUCACCAAAAGCUUCUUCUGGAUCUCAGUAUUUAUUUUAUGUGCCCUUUGUUUGAUGUACUGUGUUGGGAUCAUAGCUUCUUCCCUUUAGACGAACC
rnacentral:lncRNA from 1 species